GCCUCGAUGGCGCAGUCGGUUAACGCGUAAGUCUCAUAAUCUUAAGGUCGUGAGUUCGAUUCUCACUCGGGGCA
rfam:Anopheles sinensis unplaced genomic scaffold AS2_scf7180000696129, whole genome shotgun sequence.